UUGAAGUAGGCGGGGAAACGCGAGUGAUGCUGCCCAUACAGACCCCCUUCCCCUCCCUCUGGCGCUCUCUCCAGCCCGUGGCCCGAGUCACUGCUCCAGGAUCCCGCGUUGUUGGGAAGGUGCUCCUAAACACGCGGGUGAUUCUGAGCGCGAUCACUUACACCGCCCCGUAGAACGCGGCUGCAUAAAAAUAUGUGCACUGUCUCUUUAAGAUCCCUUCGUUGGCCCGCUUCGUAUUGAUCAAUCCACCAUUUUCCAGCGCACAGCACUCAGCGGCGGCGGCGGAGAGAGAAAGCCCUACCUGGAGACGCCAGGCAGGACCGGGGGCAGUCAUGGCAGCCAACAUGUACCGGGUCGGAGAUUAUGUUUACUUCGAAAACUCCUCCAGUAACCCACUGCUGAUCAGGCGAAUAGAGGAACUCAACAAGUGUUCACACUUUUAAGCCUUUAGCAUCCUCUAACAUCACACUGCACCCCCCCUGUCUGCCCUCCUCAUCUUCUAUCCAUCACGAGACCCUCUCAAAUCAGCCAGGAAGUGCAGAGGUGUUUAGACGGCGAAUGGGAACGUGGAGGCCAAAGUGGUGUGUUUCUACCGACGCAGAGACAUCUCUACAACGCUCAUCACCCUCGCUGAUAAACAUGCAAGAGAAAUAAAA